UGAGUACGAGAUGCUACGGCAUCGAAGCAGUCUAUGUCAUACUUCCAAGAAAAGCUUGCACUGUCAGAAACAGAUAAUGCCUGUACCAUAACCGACACAGGUGGGUAGGUAGAGUAUACUAAGGGGCGCGAGAUAACUCUCUCUAAGGAACUCGGCAAAAUGACUCCGUAACUUCGGGAGAAGGAGUGCCUUAUUUUUAAGGUUGCAAUAACAAGAUCCAAGCAACUGUUUACCAAAAACACAGGUCUCCGCUAAGUCGUAAGACGAUGUAUGGGGGCUGACGCCUGCCCAGUGCCAGAAGGUUAAAGAAGUCGGUUAGCAUUCGCGAAGCUGGUAACUGAAGCCCUGGUGAACGGCGGCCGUAACUAUAACGGUCCUAAGGUAGCGAAAUUCCUUGUCGGGUAAGUUCCGACCCGCACGAAAGGCGUAAUGAUUUGGAUACUGUCUCGGAGAGGGGCUCGGUGAAAUAGACUUGUCUGUGAAGAUGCGGACUACCCGCACCUGGACAGAAAGACCCUAUGAAGCUUUACUGUAACUUGAAAUUGAAAUUGGACUUUAUUUGCGCAGUAUAGGUGGGAGGCGUUGAGAAUAUUCUUGCGGGAAUAUUGGAGCCAUCAGUGAGAUACCACUCUUGUAAUGUUAGAUUUCUAACUUUAUAUCAUUAUCUGGUUAAAGAACAGUUUCAGGCGGGCAGUUUGACUGGGGCGGUCGCCUCCCAAAUGGUAACGGAGGCGCACAAAGGUUUCCUCUGAACGGGUAGAAAUCGUAUCUAGAGUGUAAAGGCAUAAGGAAGCUUGACUGUGAGACCUACAAGUCGAGCAGGGACGAAAGUCGGUCUUAGUGAUCUGACGGUGCUGAGUGGAAAGGCCGUCACUCAACGGAUAAAAGUUACUCUAGGAUAACAGGCUGAUCUCCCCCAAGAGUUCACAUCGACGGGGAGGUUUGGCACCUCGAUGUCGGCUCAUCGCAUCCUGGGGCGGUAGUACGUCCCAAGGGUUGGGCUGUUCGCCCAUGAAAGCGGUACGCGAGCUGGGUUCAGAACGUCGUGAGACAGUUCGGUCCAUAUCCGGUGUAGGCGUUAGAAUAUUGAGAGGAGCCUUCUUUAGUACGAGAGGACCGAGAAGGACAUACCUCUGGUGUACCAGUUAUCGUGCCAACGGUAAACGCUGGGUAGCUAUGUAUGGAGUGGAUAACCGCAGAAAGCAUCUAAGUGGGAAGCCCACCUCAAGAUAAG
rnacentral:rRNA from 1 species